AAAUAACACUCUAAUUCUCCUUUUAUUCUUGCUCCCAUAUAUAGUAGAAGUUAUUAUAAAAAAAAUUGCAAAACACUCGCAUUUAUGUUAAAGCAGAACUCUCGUACCUUUUGCAUCAUGGUAUAUCAAGUUUAUGUCUUUUGCUUACCCCCGAAAUUCUUUCGAGCUGAGGUUAUACUGAUUAGAUACCUAUAAUACAAUGUUACAAUAUUGAAUUAAGAUAUAGCCUCAGAGGCUACAUACCCGCGCGAAGAACGAUAGCUGGUUGCCCCCAAUUUUGAUCUUAGUCAAAAAAGCCUGUCACGCUAUUAAGUUGUUAAAGGCAAAGCUUUAACAAUUACCCCCUAUUCUGUACUAAAUAUAUUUUACAAGUAGGCCUAAAAUCAGCCACUAUAACCCGUUACAGGGCCCAAAAUUUCACAUAUAUAAUAAUAAUCCUUUGCACAUUUUAAAGGGCAACGUUUUUACCUUAAAAACAUCUUAUAAUGUUAUAACUAGUAAUUUUACAAUCACUUUUUAAAAUUAACAAAUAUAAACAAAUAUUACAAGCUUAAACCCCAAGUAAGGAACUCGGCAACUUUUUAUUCAGCCUGUUUAACAAAAACACCGCCUAUUGAAGAUAUAAUAGGUCCAUCCUGCCCAGUGAAUAAGUUUCAACGGCCGCGGUAUCCUGACCGUGCAAAGGUAGCAUAAUCAUUUGCCUUUUAAUUGAAGGCUAGUAUGAAAGGACACACAAGAAUAAAUCUGUCUCAUUUGGGUUAUCUUAAAACUGAUUUUUAGGUGAAGAAGCCUAAAUUAUUAUAAAGGACAAGAAGACCCUAUAGAGCUUUAUCAAUAAAAGUCAUAAAACUUAUUUAUUGGUUUGGUUGGGACAACCAAAAGACAAAUAAACCUCUUUUAUUAGAAAAAUAACCCUCACCCACAAUUGAACUAGAAUUUCAAGCUACCUUAGGGAUAACAGGCUAAUCCCACUAGAGAGACCACAUUGACAGUGGGGAUUGGCACCUCGAUGUUGGCUUAGUGUAACCAUUAGGCGCAGCCGCUUAAUUGAGUUGGUUUGUUCAACCAUUAAAUCACUACAUGAGCUGAGUUCAGACCGGCGCAAGCCAGGUUAGAUUCUAUCCUUAUUUUAAAUAAUAAUUCAUAGUACGAAAGGACCUGAUUUUAUAGAUACUAUCUCUAUUAAUUAACAGUUAU
rnacentral:rRNA from 1 species